CUUUCAUAUGUGUUUUCACAUUUAAUCAUCACGGUGGCAUGGGAGGUAGGUGUUGCUGUCCCCGGAGAGUUUUGGUGACACAGGUAAAGCAGGGGGAGGGCAGAGGGACAGGAGCCCAGAGACUGGUUUUCUAUCCAGAGUAUGACCAGCUUCAACGUUUUUCCUCCAUUCUGAACCAGUGGGAUGGUACAGCACUGUCCAGCAUGUCACCAGGGUAGGAGAAUUAAGCAGAGGGAGAAACACACUAGCAAAGGCUGGAGAUGGAAAAGUACAGGACGAGAAGAGUGAGUCGUUUGCCUGGGUUGCAGCACUGCAUGCUCAGACGGGAGCACUGAGGAAUACAGCUGAACAGGUGCAUGACUUUCUGCCCAAUUACUUGUUUUCAACCCAUCAGAGCAAGUCAAGCAUGCAUCUCAGAAGUCUCACUGUCACACUUGGCCUAGGUUGCCCCCGUGCACUGUCUCUGUUCUCAGUAUUCUGCCUCUGCAUACCCACAGAACAAUAGCUCUAAGUUUCCCAGACCCUCGUGUGGAGGCUUGGUCAAAAGGCGAAACCUGAAGAAAUACUUUAGCACAGGAUGAAGGAGGAAGUGGCAGAAGGGUAAAACCAACCCCUGUCAAACUUCACCAAGUGGCUCUGCCCCGGACUCAGCUCCACCACAUCCUACUCUUAUUGGGAGGCCAAGCAAGAAGGACUAAGGUGACUGGGACCUGGGCAGUGGGAGAAUGGGCAGUGGGAGAAAGAUCAUGAGGAAGCAGAAGGGGCUUUGUUUUGGUCCAGGGAACCAAAUCCAGCACUAUAACCGCCACCAGUCCUGGGAGUCACUGGCAGAAAAAAUCAGAACAGGGAAUGCAAAGGUGCUGCUCUGCCUCUACUGAGCACCCCUCCCCAUCUCUAAGACUCAUUCUUAUAUUCUAUAAAAUGGGGAUUAUGACAUCCACCUGUGUGUCCUGUUGACCUGUUUGUAAAGGUAGAAUAAGGUAAGUGAGUAUGAAAGCACUUUAAACAUGUAAAGCACUAUAUUACAGGCUUUUUCUCACUCAACUGACCCUAGUCAUUAGGAUGGGUAGACAUGACAAGAAGGAAGAAGAAUGCAGAUGCC
rnacentral:lncRNA from 1 species